UCUAAACGGCCGCGGCAACUAAAACCGUGCAAAGGUAGCACAAUCACUUGUCCCUUAAAUAGGGACCCGUAUGAAAGGCAACACGAGAGAAAACCUGUCUCCUAAAGCUAGCCAGUGAAAUUGAACUGUCAGUACAAAAGCUGACAUACCAAAGCAAGACGAAAAGACCCUGUGGAACUUUAAAAACCUGUCUAUCAAACCUAAACAAUUUUUUUAGUUGGGACAACUAAAGAAAAAACUAACCUCUUUUAUUCACCAAGACCAACAAGUCUAAGACAUUAAAAACUUGACCCAGUCACACUGAUUAAUGAAACAAGCUACCCCAGGGAUAACAGCSCCACCUUCUCAAAAAGUCCAUAUUAACAARAAGAUCUACSACCUCSAUGUUGGAUCAGGGUACCCAGACGGUGCAACAGCUGUCAAAGGUUCGUUUGUUCAACGACUAACACCC
rnacentral:rRNA from 1 species